AGAAAAUUAGGGGACAUUUCAAGAACAACUACAGAAAGAACGGAAAGAACCUCCACAGAGACAGAAACAUACGGCAGAAAAUAAGGUGACAGGUCAAGAACAACAACAGAAAGAACGGAAAGAACGGAAAGAACAUAAAGAACCUCCACAGAGACAGAAACAUACGGCAGAAAAUUACGUGACAGGUCAAGAACAACAACGGAAACAACGGAAACAAGGGAAACAACCGAAACAACGGAAACAACCGAAACACGGAAAACACAACCUCCACAGAGACAGAAACAUAAAAGAGAAAAUUACGUAACAGGUCAAGAACAACAACGGAAACACUAACGGAAACACUAACGGAAACACUAACGGAAACAUCCUCCAGAGAGACAGAAACAUAGAGCAGAAAAUUAGGUGACAGGUCAAGAACAACAACGGAAACAACGGAAACAGCGGAAACAACCACCACAGAGACAGAAACACAAGGCAGAAAAUUAG
ensembl:lncRNA